ACUCUGGGUUCGUCAGGUCUAAAGCAAAGUUACUGAUUAGAGAAAUAUGUGACUUGCGUCUUUGUGGUUCCUUUCCUGGCAAAAGUUUAUUCUACAGUUAACUAUUAGGCUCCAAAAGCCAUCUGCAGGCCACGCUUAAUCUACAUGCUUCAAAAAUGGCCAAAGAGCUGUCUCUAGACACUGUCCUCAGCGGAUACCCUAGGAAAAGAAGUAUUGAGCAUCAUUGUACAUGUCUGAAAUCCCAGCACCGAGGCUACAGCAGGAGGAGUGAGUUGGAGGCCAGCCUGUGCUGCAUGGGUUUCUCUGUGUAGCCCUGGCUUUCCUGGAACUCACUCCACAGACCAGACUGGCCUUGAACUCCGAGAUCUGCCUGCUUCUGCCUCCCGAGUACUGGGAUUAAAGGUGUGGGCCACAACUACCCAUCAGUAUUAAUUUUUUUUUUAAUGUGGCUUAACAAGUGGAAAAGAGAGAACAUUGUCACAGCACAGCACAGUCAGUGUAUCAGUAAUUUGUAACACACACACAGUGUCAGUAAAGAUGUGGAGCAGGCUGGGGAACGGGAGAGCUGGCACCUCAUCCUGGAGACAUUAGGCAGAAGCUUAGAGGCACGCUCAUCUUUCCGUGAGUGCCAGCAAGCCCUGCUGGACUUGGAGCAGACAGAUGGGAGCCCACGUGUCCACCAAAAGCCACAAGCAAGAAUUCUCAGGGUAUCUUUCUCCCCAGAUAGUCCAAAGCUGAAAACACUGUAGGCUUCAGCGCUCACAGCAUUGAUAUGGACUCGGUGGCCAGUCAUGCGGGUAAUGCCACAGGGAGGAGAAAUGACCAACAUGGCACUGUGGGCCAGCAGCCUGCAUCUCACCUGC